rnacentral:rRNA from 1 species
AUACGUAGGGUGCAAGCGUUAAUCGGAAUUACUGGGCGUAAAGCGUGCGCAGGCGGUUUUUUAAGACAGAGGUGAAAUCCCCGGGCUCAACCUGGGAACUGCCUUUGGGACUGCAAGGCUAGAGGACGGCAGAGGGGGGUGGAAUUCCGCGGGUAGCAGGGGAAAGCGUAGAUAUGCGGAGGAACACCGAUGGCGAAGGCAAUCCCCUGGGCCUGUACUGACGCUCAUGCACGAAAGCGUGGGGAGCAAACAGGAUUAGAUACCCUGGUAGUCCACGCCCUAAACGAUGUCAACUGGUUGUUGGGUCUUCAUUGACUCAGUAACGAAGCUAACGCGUGAAGUUGACCGCCUGGGGAGUACGGCCGCAAGGUUGAAACUCAAAUGAAUUGACGGGG